CGUAUUUUGCUCUUAUCUCUUUUUCUCUCUUAUUUUCAUUUUCACUCAUUUAUUUCAGACUCGUUUUUCGCUCUAUCUUUCCUUCUGAGAAAUCUCAAACCCAUAGAUCUAUUUUAUUUCCGAGAAAUCACAGGAAUCAAAACCUUCACUUUUAACCAAAUUAAAACAUAUACUCGUAAUCAAAACCCAAAGUUGAAAAUCUAGAAAACCAAAUCAAAACCCAAAAAUAUCCAUCUAAAACCUAGAAAAUCAAUUUGUUCGUGAAAUCGAAAAUCAGUUCAUCCAUAGUUGAUUUCUUUGUUGAUUUUCAAGAGGUUUUGUAGAGUAAAAUUGCGGCUCUAAGGACUUGAAAGGUCAAUGGAACAAAUGCAAAGCACAUCUAAAGGUACGACAUCACAGCAAAAUAUAGGAGUGCCCAUCAAUUAUGGUGGUAACAAGCAGGUCAAAGUUACAGAACGAAGAGAACCAAAACUAGCAGAACUAGCUAAUGCAUUGGAUCAAUAUUUUUGUGUGUCUAAGAUAUCAUUGCAUCCGAGGCACAUGAAGCCUCACCAAAUUCAAGGUUUCAACUUCUUGCUUAGAAACGCAGUCGAUGAAGGUGAUGCCCAGUCAUUAUGUGAGGCAAUUGCGGGUCAUGUUUUUGUGUUAUCGACCAUUUUGUAUUUUCAAAUUCAGAAACUUGGGUUCUUGACAAAAGUCAGUACAAUCUUUGAAUCAACCAAAUAAUUGUAUGGGUUUAUGAUAGUCAUCUAUUAAAUUCUUAUGAGGAAUUCAUAAAUUGCAAGUUGAUACGAAUAUAUAUGUAUAGUUCUAUAUUGUGAUAAUCAAUCAUAUGUUUGUGAU